ensembl:lncRNA
UGCAUUGGCUGUUCCCUCUUCCCCAUACCCUUCCUCUGGUAGCUGCAAGUCUCUCUCCUUCCUUCCUGAGGGUCCGUAUUGCAACGUUGCCUUCUUAGCCAGGCUUUCCAUAGACACUUGAUCUUAAGCUCCCCUGCUCCCACCCCUACCGGGAACCUUCAUAGCCCUCGUCCUGCUUCAUAUCUUCUCCUCAGCAAUUACCACUAUCUAACCUACUGGCUGUUUUACUUAUUUAUCUUAUUUAUUGUCUUUCCUCGCUAGACUAUCAACUUCGUGAAGGCAGGAAUUUGUUUUUGUUUUUCGGCUUGCUUUCCUCUUCUGCAUUCCAGUGCCCUGGCACCUGGGAGGCCUUUAAUCAAAAUUUGAUUAGUGAAUGAAUGAGUGAAUGGGUAUUUGACUCAUAGCAGGUGCUAAAUGAAUAUUGGCUCACACGUUCCUAAGCUGGAGGCCUUUCUGUUGCAGCAGGCUGCUGCCCUGGGGCAUCUGUAACUAGUUUGUCCAAGCUCAUAGGCCCUCUCCACUGCUCUAUUACCAUCUCCUCCACCCAGGGAAACAGGCAGUGCAGCCUGUGGCUGCAGAGCUACAGCUGCAGGGAGACCCCUCCCUGGGCUGCAGGCCUAGGGCAGUGCUGGUGGUAGAGACAGAGGCUCACAUGGCUGCAGAGGGCACCCAAAGCCUGGCAAAGAGCAGAGCACUCACUGAAGCUUGGAGGUUCAGGUCCUGCUUCCCAAAGUUUGCUUGGAAUCUGAGCAAGAAAAAGAACAGAUGGAAUUUGUUUUUGGAAAGGAGAGGAGCAUGGAAUUCGAGAAUCUAGAAUUAGGGGGCAGGCAUCAUGACCUUUUAGUAUUUUUAGCUCGGAUUAACAUGAUGAAUGAAUUUCUUCCAAUUCAAUCCACAAGACUGAUUCCACCUGAAGGCCAUAGAGCGAGGACAAGGAAUCCGUGGAAGAACAGGCUGCUCUCCUUAACUCAAUCUUAUCAUUCAAUUAUCAGCUUGAAAGUUGCCUUCUCAGACAAGGAUGCCAGAUUCCCCUCUGAAAGAUGGGCUAGUUUCUCUUGAAAGGAACUUCUUGCUGCCUGUAGGGCAGAGGGAAUCCUUAGGAGAUGGGUGGGAACACUUCCUUCUUUAUUUCACAAGGAUUUCUUGAGAACCUAUGAUGUUCCAGGCUCUGUUUCAAGCACUCGCAAUAAAGAUUUGACAAAAUCAACAAGGUCCUGCCUUCAUGAAGCUGACAUCCUAGUGAGCGUGCUACACAGCAGCAGUAAACAUAACAGGGACAGCUGUCUUCUCUAGCAGUUCAUUCUCCAGGGAACCCCUCGGACUCUGAUGGAUUUCACCAUGUGCUGCGAUCCUCUGUAGGCUGCAAAAGUUUGAGACGUAGUCACUGAGAGGCAGGGUGUGAGCGAAACUCUGAAGAAUGAAGCCAACUAAGAAUUGCUUUUUUUUCUAAGACAGUCAGUGAUUUCAAGACAAAGCCAACUGGUUUCCAUGUCUAAGGUCCUACGAUGACUUGCUUGUUUGUUUUGUUUAUGUUUUCUCUGAAGAGGGAAGGAAUUCUAAAAUUUCCUUCUCCGUGUGAAUUCUCAUCUGGAACACCAAAAGUCGAGGUGUGAAUGCUAUACCAAGUGAGACAGGCAGACCCUGGAUUAGGGGUUACCAGUAUCUGAAUUAGGUGUGGAGAAAGCUGAAAUUUCAGGGUCAUGAGCAAUGGAGACCUCAUGUCCCAAAAAGUCAGAUUCUUUUUUGUUUUUGAGGAAGAUUAGCCCUGAGCUAACUGCUGCCAGUCCUUCUCUUUUCACUGAGGAAGACUGGCCCUGAGCUAACAUCCGUGCCCAUCUUCCUCUACUUUAUAUGCGGGAUGCCUACCACAGCAUGGUGUGUCAAGCAGUGCCAUGUCUGCACCCAGGAUCUGAACUGGCGAACCCCGGGCCGCUGAAGUGGAACAUGUGCACUUAACUGCUGCACCACCAGGCCGGCCCCCCAAAAAGUCAGAUUUUCCCUUCCUUCUACUGAUGAGGGAUAAUCUUCCACAACAAGUGAAGCAUGGGGCAAUUCUAUUUACUUCUGCCGUAAGUCAUUCCCCAAGGGAGCACAGUGGUGAGGUGGAAGGCAGUCCCUCUACCCACAUCUACACAAAGUAGAACUGUCAGGUGAAGGGAAGCUUUGUAGCAGAGACAAGUUUUCCACAUCAAAUGUCAGAACUCUGUGUUUCUGACGAUGAACUGUGGUAGUUCACAGAGAUCAUAAAUUGGAUAGCUCUACGGAUUGACCAGGAUUACUCUGUUUUUGUUUUUGUGUCAUUUGGGCCAAUCAUAAAUAGAGAUAACUUCUUUGAAUUGGGAAAGCACCCAUGGAGUCCUUGGGCCUCAGGCGGAGACCUGCAGAGAUCAUGUGCCUUCUAACCAUCGAUAGGAUUAAAACUUGGAUCUUUUUAAAAAAAUAAAAAUUAAAGGAAGCAUAACUUUAUUAUAAUUGCACCAGAG